rnacentral:rRNA from 1 species
CAGUAGCCGCGGUAAUACGAAGGGGGCUAGCGUUGUUCGGAAUCACUGGGCGUAAAGGGUGCGUAGGCGGGCAUUUAAGUCAGGGGCGAAAUCCCGAGGCUCAACCUCGGAACUGCCCUUGAUACUGGGUGUCUUGAGUCCGGAAGAGGUGAGUGGAACUGCGAGUGUAGAGGUGAAAUUCGUAGAUAUUCGCAAGAACACCGGUGGCGAAGGCGGCUCACUGGUCCGGAACUGACGCUGAGGCACGACAGCGUGGGGAGCAAACAGGAUUAGAUACCCCCGUAGUCCCUGUCUCUUAUAC